ACCACGUCGAAAAACCGGUUCCCGUACGAUCACCGAAGUUAAGCAACGUCGAGCCUUGUCAGUACCUAGAUGAGUUACUGCUUGGAAAUACCUGGUGCUGUAA